UUUUGGGGAGGCUGAACAUGUACCUCUGACUCAAGGCUGAGUUAUUAUUAAAAAAAAACAGAAAAGGAAGGAAAAAGGGUUUAAUUUCCCACUGUUGAAGACAGUCAGGAUGAGAGGCAGACACACAAACGUGCACAGACUUGCACUUCUGUUCAGCAACGGAUAGGGCAAGGGUUUACCCGUGUUGUCUUCAAAGCAUUGCCUGGAAUACAAAAUGACAUGGUGUUUCUGGAAUACAGUUCUCUUUGAAAGACCAAGAAAAGACGUCUUCAACACAGAAACAGAUCGUUGCUUCGCGUGGGAGAAGAAAAAAGCAUACAUCAGACUGCAGAAAAAUAGAAACGGAAAACCGGUUGCCACUUCCCCGUUAAGCAGAUAGAGAAACUGAGGCUCAAAUUGUUACCUCCCCAAGACAGCACGCAUCUGCCAGUGAAGACUUAGACCACAGAAACUGGAUAAAGUGUGACACAGGAGCCAAGGAGGAGAGCAGCCAGGAGUGGACCAAAAGGCAAAGUUCACUUAUUUAUUCACUCAUUCCACAAAUAAAUUCUUGAGAACCUGCUAUGUGCCAGGCCCUGUUCUGAGCCAUGAAGAUGCAGCUGUGACCAACAUGGAUAAGAUGUCCUGCCUUCUUGGAGCUUACAUUCUACUGAUGGGUUGAGAUGAUCUCAUCCUACUGUUUUUAUUUUGUUUUCAUUGCUUAGUCAAGAACACAGCACUAAUUCGAUUAUCAAACCAACACCAUGGCUGAUCCAUAUGUGUAGACCAGGAUUUCCCUGGAAGCACAGACCUCAAAGACCCUCAUCCCCACUUUCUUCCUCUAUGUAUGUGAACAGUCCAUCAAGGCCAAGUGAAUUCUUACUUCCUUCAUCAAAGGAAUAUAGCUGAAGAUGACAAACAAAUCAGAAAAUAUUGAAAAGAAAGUGGAAACAGAAUUUUAAAAGGUGUGGAUGAAAACUUUAUAUAAAAAUUAAAGUUCAACUUGAAUGAACAAACAAUAAUGGUAACCAUAAUUCUUGAAGACAGUUUACCAAAAAGCAGCAGUAACUAUCCAGAAAAUACUUAUUUUGAAGAAAAGUCAAUGUCAUGCUCUGGCAUUCAGAAAGGGAGAUUCAUAGGUGUAGCAGCGCUGGACUUUCUCUGCCCCCGUUGGAGCAGCUUAUCUGACUGGCAGACAGAGUUAUGUACAAGGACCUACGUUGUAUAGGAGGCUUGGAGGAAGAGUGGACAUGAGAUGCAUCCCAGGAGUUUAACUUAAAACCUGCCUUGGGGGAAAGGCUGGAAGAGUAAAACAGAACCCACAGCAGAUGGAAAGCAGGAGAAGAUUUUAAAGAUGCACAGAACAACCGCAGCAAGAAAUGAGAGAUCCUUCCUGACCAUAAGAGGUAUGAGAUAGAAAAAGCAGCUCAAAAACACCAUGAUCCUUACUCACUUCUGAGGCCAUCAGUGGGUCCCAGGAACCAGGAAAAGUUCACCAACCCUCCCAUCAGUACUUUUGAGAGACAAAGCAAUUGCCUUUGCAAAGGAUGUAUUUUAUGGAAAGAAGAUAAGAAUCUUGAGAAUCAACAGCAGGACCUUAUUAAAGGAAGGACUACAGUUUAUUUUAAAACUUUAAACUGGAAAAGGAGCAGGAGUACACAGCAAGAGUCACUUCCUCUGAGAUGAGGUAUCCUAGGAGAGGAGACUUGGAUGGAUUGGCGUUUUGGAGGAGGUCAGGGCCAGAGAGGGUACCUGACUGUGGGAAUGCGGUGGUUGUAGAGGUGAUUGUUUGGGUGCCUGAUCACCAAACAGGGGUGAUUGUGGGGGUGGGGAAGCCGGCUGGGUGGUUGGCCACAUGCAGACCAGUGGAGCUGAGCAGAGAAUCGGGCACAGCUGUCUCCAGUUCCAUUAAGCGAAGACGAAGCCUAAGAACAGGAACGCCGGGUACUGAGCAGCACAGCUCGCCGGUGCUGAGGAGCCGCGCUGCCUGUUCCCAUUGCUCUUGGGAAGGCCAUCCACCCACAUGGCGGUUACCUGGAUCUCCCUGUCGGUGGAUCACUGGAGCCAAAAUUUGCCACUUGCACUGCGCUCUCUGGACUUUUUCUUUCAGUAGGUUAAAAUACUCAUAGGCCCUUGGGUACAGAGUAUGGAACCCCUGAGGAGUUAGUGCUGAUGAGCAGGGGAACACUCCGCCCCAACCCCAGCACCUAAACUACGGGUCAGUCAGGACAGUGGUGUUAACUCAGCACCACUCCCUUCCACAGCCUCUGUGCUCCCUGUUGACUGCGGGGUUGGAGAGGAGGAGGACUGAA